AGCCCUUUGCAGGACGUGCAACAGGGUUGUGGCUCGUGUGUUCGGUCUCUGCCUGCUGAAACCCCUUAUGGGAGGUGGAGCAUGCAGACGGACGGGUGCAGGAGCCAGGGUGCAAAAGCUGGGGCGCUGGGCUUCCAGCCCCACGGCAGUGUCCAGGGGCAGGAUCCCGUGAUUCCCGGAGCCCAAAUGGGCGUGUGUUACAGUGUGCUCUUUUAGCCUUACCAUCAGCUGACGGCUUAAGUGUUAACCAGCUCAAUAGACCCUCUGCCUUUUUGCAAGCGCAGAGGGUCAGUGUGACAGUUUCUGUAUCUCAGCUCUUGUCUCACCUCCCAGAAGAAUCAGGUCACACAUGGACUUGAAGGAUGACGGGCCUGUCUAAUUGCAGGAAAACAAACUCAGGGCUCCCACUGAUUCUACAUUACGAUAAAUACCUGGAGUGGGAUUGCUAGAUCACAUGGAAAACACAGAUCCUGGUGCCGAACAUGAGGACAGGGCAGGCCGAAGGAGAAAGUGGAAGGAGGGGAGCUUCUCUCUCAGCCUCAUCCUUCUGGGCCUGGAUGCUGGAGAGUCAUGAGGUGCUUCAGAGUACUCUGGGUGAGGAGGGAAAGAUGGUGCCCACCACAUGGAGGCCAGCCUAGGUCUUGUAUGAAACCUGUGAGGCCAGCAGGAGCCAGGCCGUGGCCUGCUGACUGCAUCUGCCAGAUGACUACCAAUGUGUGAGUAAACCCAUUCUCAAGCCCAAGAGAACCUCUCAGCUGAACCAGGCCCAAGUUGCUCACCCACUGAACUGCCAGUUAAAUAAAUGGUGG
rnacentral:lncRNA from 10 species